CCUACGGGAGGCAGCAGUCGAGAAUCAUUCACAAUGGGGGAAACCCUGAUGGGGCGACGCCGCGUGGGGGAAUGAAGGUCUGCGGAUUGUAAACCCCUGUCAUGUGGGAGCAAAGUAAAAAGAUAGUACCACAAGAGGAAGAGACGGCUAACGCUGGGCCAGCAGCCGCGGUAAGACAGAGGUCUCAAGCGUUGUUCGGAAUCCCUGGGCGUAACGGGUGCGUAGGCUGUUUCGUAAGUCGUGUGUGAAAGGCGCGGGCUCCACCCGCGGACGGCACCUGAUACUGCGAGACUAGAGUACUGGAGGGGUAACCGGAAUUCUCGGUGUAGCCGU
rnacentral:rRNA from 1 species